AAAAGUGAAAGACGGUCUUGCUGUCACUUAUAGAUGGAUCCGCGCUGCAUUAGCUAGUUGGUAAGGUAACGGCUUACCAAGGCAACGAUGCAUAGCCGACCUGAGAGGGUGAUCGGCCACACUGGAACUGAGACACGGUCCAGACUCCUACGGGAGGCAGCAGUAGGGAAUCUUCCGCAAUGGGCGAAAGCCUGACGGAGCAACGCCGCGUGAGUGAUGAAGGUCUUCGGAUCGUAAAACUCUGUUAUUAGGGAAGAACAUAUGUGUAAGUAACUGUGCACAUCUUGACGGUACCUAAUCAGAAAGCCACGGCUAACUACGUGCCAGCAGCCGCGGUAAUACGUAGGUGGCAAGCGUUAUCCGGAAUUAUUGGGCGUAAAGCGCGCGUAGGCGGUUUUUUAAGUCUGAUGUGAAAGCCCACGGCUCAACCGUGGAGGGUCAUUGGAAACUGGAAAACUUGAGUGCAGAAGAGGAAAGUGGAAUUCCAUGUGUAGCGGUGAAAUGCGCAGAGAUAUGGAGGAACACCAGUGGCGAAGGCGACUUUCUGGUCUGUAACUGACGCUGAUGUGCGAAAGCGUGGGGAUCAAACAGGAUUAGAUACCCUGGUAGUCCACGCCGUAAACGAUGAGU
rnacentral:rRNA from 1 species